ACGGGGCCCGCACAAGCGGUGGAGCAUGUGGUUUAAUUCGACGCAACGCGAAGAACCUUACCAGGUCUUGACAUCCCGAUGCUAUUUCUAGAGAUAGAAAGUUACUUCGGUACAUCGGUGACAGGUGGUGCAUGGUUGUCGUCAGCUCGUGUCGUGAGAUGUUGGGUUAAGUCCCGCAACGAGCGCAACCCCUAUUGUUAGUUGCCAUCAUUCAGUUGGGCACUCUAGCGAGACUGCCGGUAAUAAACCGGAGGAAGGUGGGGAUGACGUCAAAUCAUCAUGCCCCUUAUGACCUGGGCUACACACGUGCUACAAUGGUUGGUACAACGAGUUGCGAGUCGGUGACGGCGAGCUAAUCUCUUAAAGCCAAUCUCAGUUCGGAUUGUAGGCUGCAACUCGCCUACAUGAAGUCGGAAUCGCUAGUAAUCGCGGAUCAGCACGCCGCGGUGAAUACGUUCCCGGGCCUU
rnacentral:rRNA from 1 species